rnacentral:lncRNA from 1 species
AUUGGUCAACCAGGCUCCGGCGCGCUCGGCCAAUCAGAAAGGACGAUGGGGAGCGGGGGCGGGGAGAGCGAGCGGAAAGGGGAAGCGAGCGGUGCUGGGAGUAAGGGGCCGGCGGUCGGGAGGUCUGGGCGGGGCGGGGCGGGGCGGGGCGCGAGAGGACAGAGGAGGCGGGGCCGCGCGCCUCCGUAGCCCGAGGGCGGAAGCGAGAGAGAAUGAGGAGGCAAGAGGGGAGCCGCGGCUGCGGGGAGGCUCGGGACGAGUGGGUUUGUUCCGGUUGUCCUUCCGCUGCAGACGUCCGGGGCCCAGGCCCGAAGCCGAGGGGGAAGUCCAAAAUGCUGUAAUUGUACAAUUUAAAGGAAAAGGAAAAAGCUCUCUCGGCAGUUUCUACUCAUCCUGCCCAGUAGAUGGCACACAGCUGAGCUGCUGCUGCACUGCCAUUCCUUCGUUGUUCCGUGAGGACGUGGGUGCUGAGGAGCGACCUGGGAUGCCAAGAGUGGCACUGAAGUUUAGGAGACAUGACGUGAAGCAUCAGGUCUUUGGCCAUCAGCGCCCCUCCAGGCUGGCGUUCACUGCUGUGUCCACAUUCCCAUCGACUCGGAUCAUCAGUCCUGCACUUGCAGCGGCCUAUCCUGACGGUGACGAUUCUCCCUGAGCCACGUCCUCACCCCUCUUAGGGACUGGGGAACUGUUGGAUGUUCCCCUGUGCCACUCUGGAGACUUGGGGGGAUGUGGCAGACGUGGGGCGCUGUCCUAGACGCAUCUAGUUGCCACUUCUACCCUCCCCUAUUCACCCUGGCCCCACCUCAGACGUGAGCACAGGUCCCCGUGCUCUCAGAUCCUCAAAACUCCCUGGACAUUCUAUGAGUCAUUGUGACUCCUUGCCGACCCCCCACCCUGGCACCCCAGCUGUAUCUUGGAUCCACUGUCACUCUCUUAUUUGACCUCUCUCUUCAGCUUGGAGAAUUAUCUAACGUGUGACUAGUGGCUACUGUGUUGGACAGCAUAGCGUCAGAUAGUGUUACAAUUAAUUUCACUUGUUUCUUUUUACUUUUUAAAAAAAUGUGGCUACUAGAAAAAUUUAAAUUGCGUUGUAUUUCUUUUGGACUGAGCUUAUCUAACAAGUCUAAGGAAGUGUUCUGGACUGAAUUGUGUCCCCUUGCUCCCAAAUUCAUAUGUUGAGGCCUGAACUCCCAAUGUGACUAUAUUUGGAGAUAGGAUCUUUACGGAGGUAAUUAGUGUUUAAUGAGGUCAUAAGGGUGGGGCCCUAUCCAAUAGGAUUGGUGUCCAUAUAGGAAGAGGGAGAGACCCCAGGAAGGUACUAACAGAAGACAGGCCGUGUGAGGACACAGUGAGAAGGCCUCAGUCUGCAGCCAGGAAGAGAGCCCUCAGCAGACACCAACCCCACCAGCACCUUGAUCUUGGACUUCCAGCUCUAGAACUGCUGUUUAAGCCCCCAGUCUGUGGUAGUUCGCUAUGGCAGCCCCAGCAGACUAAGGAAGGAAAACUCAAUCUGAUAGCAUGUAUCCUUCCAAAAUCAAAUGUUUAUGGCAUUAAUUUUAGCUUCUGAUCCUCAGAACCCUUUCUCUCAGUCUAUUGUCUGUGCCGGGAAG